rnacentral:rRNA from 1 species
AGGGGUAUAGUUCUUCGGAACUAGAGACCGGCGCACGGGUGCGUAACGCGUAUGCAAUCUACCUUUCACAGAGGGAUAGCCCAGAGAAAUUUGGAUUAAUACCUCAUAGUAUAAUGAGUUGGCAUCAACACAUUAUUAAAGUCACAACGGUGAAAGAUGAGCAUGCGUCCCAUUAGCUAGAUGGUAAGGUAACGGCUUACCAUGGCUACGAUGGGUAGGGGUCCUGAGAGGGAGAUCCCCCACACUGGUACUGAGACACGGACCAGACUCCUACGGGAGGCAGCAGUGAGGAAUAUUGGACAAUGGGCGCAAGCCUGAUCCAGCCAUGCCGCGUGCAGGAUGACGGUCCUAUGGAUUGUAAACUGCUUUUGUACAGGAAGAAACACUGGUUCGUGAACCAGCUUGACGGUACUGUAAGAAUAAGGAUCGGCUAACUCCGUGCCAGCAGCCGCGGUAAUACGGAGGAUCCAAGCGUUAUCCGGAAUCAUUGGGUUUAAAGGGUCCGUAGGCGGUUUAGUAAGUCAGUGGUGAAAGCCCAUCGCUCAACGGUGGAACGGCCAUUGAUACUGCUAAACUUGAAUUAUUAGGAAGUAACUAGAAUAUGUAGUGUAGCGGUGAAAUGCUUAGAGAUUACAUGGAAUACCAAUUGCGAAGGCAGGUUACUACUAAUGGAUUGACGCUGAUGGACGAAAGCGUGGGUAGCGAACAGGAUUAGAUACCCUGGUAGUCCACGCCGUAAACGAUGGAUACUAGCUGUUGGAAGCAAUUUCAGUGGCUAAGCGAAAGUGAUAAGUAUCCCACCUG